GUUGUUGGUUGAAGAUAUCCCUCCAGUGGUGUGGGGGCUGUGCUUUGGCAAAGUGGGUGGGGUUAUAUCCUACCUGUUUGACCCUGUCCGGGAGUAUCAUCGGAUGGGGCCACAGUGUCUCCUGACCCCUCCUGUCUCAGCCUCCAGUAUUUAUGCUGCAAUAGUUUAUGUGUCGGGGGGCUAGGGUCAGUCUGUUAUAUCUGGAGUCGGAGAUUGGAACGUUGGGGGUCGAGUCAUGUACAUUGAAAGAUAUCUAGAGCAACACAACUUCUCCAGUUAGCAAUGGUAGGAUGAAAGUCCCAGGGGAUUAUCUGGGGGAAAUGAACAGCUGCAGUGUAAAUCCUGCCUUUGUUUCAUCCUGCCUGGCAUUGAGCACAGUGUGGUCCUAGAAACCUGGCAACUUUCAGUGACAAGAUAAAGAGAAUUUGGGCACCUAGGCAUUUGAAUGAUUGAUCCCUCUGGGCACCGGUGAAGUUCAUUGCUGUGACCUCCAGGACUGGAUUAUAUAACGUUGUCAUUUUGCAGUACUGUGGAUAUGGAUAUGUUAAUGUCAGUGCAAACUAGUUUAGAUGAGAUUGUGGUGGUAUUUCCAGGAGGCAUAUGAGUUUAUUUAGCAUAAAUCACAUGAAGCUUAACAUGACAUAACUAACUUACUGACAUGGAUAUUAAAUGCUCUGUCAUAUAGGCUAUGUGCUCUGUUUUCUAUGGGUUGCUGUCAGCAUUCUAUUUACAAUGCUCUUGCAUGAGAGGGUGAGAGGCUACAGUGGACCUUACUAAGUGUGGGAUAAGUCUAGUCAAUCCUCUAGCUCCCCUUAAAAGACUGAAAAUAUGCUCUCUAAGUAGCAUGUUUGUUUAUGAGAUGAAUUCAGUCAAUGACAUGGGAAAUCACACUGGUGUAAAGCAAUAUGCAGUGUUGUUUGUCAGAAUUCAGUGUGAUACUACAGUACCAGUAGUGUAGUAACCUAAAAAGUGUUAAACAAAUCAAAAUAUAUUUUAUAUUUGAGAUUCUUCAAAGUAGCCACACUUUGCCUUGAUGACAGCUUUGCACACUCUUGUAGCCAGCCGCUGUGUGGAGCUUGCAGGGAAACAACCCACAAGAACAAGAUACUCUCCCGCCACGACAUUGUCUCCUUUGCCAAUCGCACGAUGGGGCCCACAAAACAUGUGGCGGUGAAGGAGCUCCAGACGUCGGCCAGAGGCCAUCAUCCUGCUGAAGGCCAUGAUCGAGGAGGUCAGAGAGUAUGUUGAUGAGGAGGAGUGCGCAAUCAGCACUAUUUUCAACAAAGUGCAGGUGAGCUGACAUAGUCAUCGGCCAUUUUGAAAACAUUAAACUCAACUCAGGGGGUGGCAGUUAACUUAGAAGUUAAGAGCCAGUAACCGAAAGGUCUCUGGUUUGAAUCCCAGAGCCAGCAAGGUGGAAAAAAUCUAUCUGCCAUUCUGCCUUUGAGCAAGGCAUCUCUCUGAUUCAGAGUUGUUGGGUUAAAUGUGGAAGUCUGUUGUGCAAUUUCCCUCGAUUUCCUCAAUUAAUCAAUGUUGUUGGUUUUUUUUUAUGCAGUUCCGCAAAUUGUAUUAAAUUCUACCACAAGAUGUCAUUCUUCAUGUCCUAUCUCAUAAAGUAGCUGAAGGUUCAAUACCUUGCACAACAUUACAUUAGAGCAACAUUUUUUUGACUUAUACUGGAUACAGUUGUAAUGCUCAAGUAGUGCUUUUCAUUUACAAACCGAGAGGAAAUUUAUGUAAAUUAGUUUUGGUUGGGAAAGUAUUCAUUAGAGUACAGUAAAUUUAAUCUUGAGAGAUUUGCAAUGCAAUUAAAUGACCCAGAUAAUAUUGUCCUCUUUUGAAUGAAAAACUGUCAGAUCGAAAACAAAUUAUCCUAAGAGCAGCGCAAAGGUGAGAAUAGAUAUUGCUUCAUGCUACCUUGCCUGAAAAUCAUGUUUAUCAUGUAGCCCUAAUGUAUAGCCUAUGAUCAGAGAAACCAUUAACCUGUUAUUGUUUGAAUGGGCCUUCCGAACAGAGCGCACACAGAUUCAGCCUCAAUGGUUGCCUCUAGCCAUUAAAAAUCGCUGUAAACUCAAUUAACUCUCGAAGAAGAAGGAAGUCUUACCACACACAGACAAGAUGCGUCCCAAAUGCCACCACAUUCCCUUUAUAGUGCACUACUUUUGACCAGAAGUAGCGCACUAUAUAGGAAAUAGUGUGACAUUCGGGUGCACAAGGCUUCCUGCUUUGAGAAGAGAUAUUGAACAGCCUAAUGGCUUGUCUAAUGCCUGCCUAAUAUGUAUCCUGUUCCACAUGUAUAUAUAGAUCCUACUGGGAGAUUAAGGUGUCCCUGGCAGCAGACCAAUAUAGAUUAAAGCCAAAUGAAUAAUAAUGUGUCAGGACUAGCUACAUCAGGCUUGCCUGGCACCACUUUCAACCCAGUAGCAAAUGAGAACAGCUGCCUCAUCUGGCUGCACUCUUACCCACUCUCCAGGUAAUAUCCUGUCUAUGGUAUGCCUGUUCAUCCUGGAGUAGUGAUACAUGAUGCCUAUUUUUACAAUGUCUUAUUCACAGUGCCCAACUGUAUUUGUAAUCCUAAUUGAUGUUCCAUCUUGAGCAGGUGUAAUAUAAUCAACUCAAGCCAAUGUUCUCCUCCACCUUGCUAGUGUAGUAUGAUGCAUAAUGCCCAAUCUGGUUCUAUGAAUCCAGAAGGGCACAAACCAAAACAU
rnacentral:lncRNA from 13 species